UCGUUAACGAACGAGACCUCGACCUGCUAAAUAGUUGGGCGAAUCCUCCGGGAUUCGUAUUCAUUUAACCUCUUAGAGGGACUAUUGACUAUUAGUCAAUGGAAGUUUGAGGCAAUAACAGGUCUGUGAUGCCCUUAGAUGUUCUGGGCCGCACGCGCGCUACACUGAUCAAGUCAACGAGUUUACAACCUUGGCCGGAAGGUCUGGGUAAUCUUUUGAAACUUGAUCGUGCUGGGGAUAGUCCAUUGCAAUUAUUGGACUUCAACGAGGAAUUCCUAGUAAGCGUGAGUCAUCAGCUCGCGUUGAUUACGUCCCUGCCCUUUGUACACACCGCCCGUCGCUAAUACCGAUUGAAUGGUUG
rnacentral:rRNA from 1 species